rnacentral:tRNA from 1 species
GGUCUCUUAGUUUAUCGUAGAAUACUGAUUUUGUAAUUCAGAGGGAGUUUUGCUAUUGACCU